GCUUACGGCCAUACCAGCCUGGGUACGCCCGAUCUCGUCUGAUCUCGGAAGCUAAGCAGGGUCGUGCCUGGUUAGUACUUGGAUGGGAGACCGCCUGGGAAUACCAAGUGCUGUAAUCA
rnacentral:rRNA from 1 species